ensembl:lncRNA
GGAAAAUGUUUGCUUAUAUGAAUUUCAGCGUUUAAAAAACAAUCCGGUUUACUUCUGGUGAUGAACGACAUGUCCAUUUUGAUUUUGCAAACGUGUUAAGAUUGAUAAGAUAGCAUUAGCUUAGUUGCUAAUGGUCGCUAGAUAACAUCCCUGAAAAUGAGCUUUCUAAACUCCCCUGUUAAAGAAGAGGUAUGCGGGACGGAAAGAGAAAAGAAGAGGAUAUUACUGUGAAAUUAGAGUAACAUGCUUUCAGAAUAAAAGAGGAGGAAGAAGAGGCCUCGGUCAGUGUCAUAAAAGACACUGGAGAGGGUGUUACGCUGAAAGAAGAGAAUGAACCUUCUGAAGUGAAGGAGGAGAUUCAAAUUAAAAAGGACGAGGAGGCCCUCAAAGUGAAAGAAGAAUUGGAACCUUUUGGAAUUAAAGAGGAAGAGAAGGCUGUCUCAAUAAAUAAGGACAACGUUUUAUUGCGGAAAGAGGAGACAGAUCUGAAUCUAAAGACAUCUGGUGAGAGCCAAAAUUCAUGGAGAGAGGAAAGUAAAUGAUGACACCUUCAAAGAAAAGGAAAGAAUGGUUGAACCAACUCAUCCCCAUUCUCAGCCUCCAGGUCCAACCAGCUCAUCCCCAUCCUCAGCCUCCAGGUCCAACCAACUCAUCCCCAUCCUCAGCCUCCAGGUCCAACCAACUCAUCCCCAUCCUCAGCCUCCAGGUCCAACCAACUCAUCCCCAUCCUCAGCCUCCAGGUCCAACCAACUCAUCCCCAUCCUCAGCCUUCAGUUUAUUUAUAUAGUACAAUUCAUACACAGAAGCAAUUCAGUGUGCUUUAUAAAGAAAAUAAAAAUAUAAAAAUGCAAUAGAAUUUAAACAGUCAGAUUGUUACAAUUCUCUAUCUCAGCUGUCUCCAGGGGGACUGCGUGAACUUCAACACCCG